rnacentral:rRNA from 1 species
UACAGAGGAGCCAAGCGUUGUCCGGAUUGACUGGGCGUAAAGCGCACGCAGGCGGACGCGCGCGUGGGGUGUGAAAUCUGGCCGCUUAACGGCCAGGCGCCAUCCCAUACGGCGGGUCUGGAGCCUUGCAGAGGUCGGUGGAAUUGCCGGUGUAGUGGUGAAAUGCGUAGAUAUCGGGAGGAACACCAGUGGCGAAGGCGACUACCUGGCCCAUUCUUGACGCUGAGGCGCGAAAGCUAGGGGAGCGAACGGG